rnacentral:lncRNA from 1 species
GUUGGUUGUGAUGGGACCCUGAGCUCAGGUGGGGUGUUGGUUGGGUUGGUUGUGAUGGGACCCUGAGCUCAGGUGGGGUGUUGGUUGGGUUGUUUGUGAUGGGACUCUGAGCUCAGAUGGGGUGUUGGUUAGGUUGGUUGUGAUGGGACCCUGAGCUCAGGUGGGGUGUUGGUUGGGUUGGUUGUGAUGGGACCCUGAACUCAGGUGGGGUGUUGGUUGGGUUGGUUGUGAUGGGACUCUGAGCUCAGGUGGGGUGUUGGUUGGGUUGGUUGUGAUGGGACCCUGAGCUCAGGUGGGGUGUUGGUUGUGUUGGUUGUGAUGGGACCCUGAGCUCAGGUGGGGUGUUGGUUGGGUUGGUUGUGAUGGGACCCUGAGCUCAGGUGGGGUGUUGAUUGUGUUGGUUGUGAUGGGACCCUGAGCUCAGGUGGGGUGUUGGUUGGGUUGGUUGUGAUGGGACCCUGAGCUCAGGUGGGG